rnacentral:rRNA from 1 species
UACGAAGGGGGCUAGCGUUGCUCGGAAUCACUGGGCGUAAAGCGCACGUAGGCGGAUUGCUAAGUCAGGGGUGAAAUCCUGGAGCUCAACUCCAGAACUGCCUUUGAUACUGGCAACCUUGAGUCCGGGAGAGGUGAGUGGAACUGCGAGUGUAGAGGUGAAAUUCGUAGAUAUUCGCAAGAACACCAGUGGCGAAGGCGGCUCACUGGCCCGGUACUGACGCUGAGGUGCGAAAGCGUGGGGAGCAAACAGGAUUAGAAACCCUUGGU